rnacentral:lncRNA from 1 species
CUGUGGAAUAAAUCAGAGAUUGAUUUAUGAGUUAUUGAUUAUGUAAUUGGAGUACUAUGUGGUUGGAUUAUUGUGAGAAGAUAUUGAGAGUUUGUUAUCAGGUUCUGUGGAAGAUUGUUAAUGGAUGAAAGAUUAUGAUUAUUAUUUGUUGAGAAUUAUGUGUGUUUUGACAGAAGAAGUCUAUGAUUAUAGAAAUUAUAUGAAGACAGAUUGUUUGGAGUAGAAGUCUGUUAUUUCUAGUAUUGGAUGGAAUUUAUGUAUUUGGAGUGAUCUUUUAAGAUAGUCCGAGAAUUGAGCUUUGUUGUUA